rnacentral:sRNA from 1 species
AAGCCUGACUGAUUGGACAGAUGAAAUCACUUUCAAAUGAUAGGUUAUAUAAUUUUUUUUCUUUUUUUUUUGAGAUGGAGUCUCACUCUGUCGCCCAGGCUGGAGUGCAGUGUCGUGAUCUUGGCUCACUGCAAGCUCCGCCUCCCAGGUUCACACCAUUCUCCUGCCUCA